CCCUUAGAUGUUCUGGGCCGCACGCGUGCUACACUGAGUGGAUCAGCGGGUCAGGUUGCGCGAAAGCGUUUCCUAAUCUUUAAAUCCGCUCGUGAUGGGGAUUGACGGUUGCAAUUUUCUGUCAUGAACGAGGAAUACCUUGUAAGCGCGGGUCAUCAUCCCGCGCUGAAUGCGUCCCUGCCCUUUGUACACACCGCCCGUCGCUCCUACCGAUUGAGUGGUCCGGUGAGGCUUUGGGAUCUGAGCGGAAAGAGCGUUUCGCUGUUUCUGCUCGGAAAACUCAGUCGAACCUUAUCAUUUAGAGGAAGGAGAAGUCGUAACA
rnacentral:rRNA from 1 species